rnacentral:rRNA from 1 species
AUCUACAGCCAUGCCACCCUGAACAAGCCCAAUUCUGUCUGAUCUUGGAAGCUAAGCAGGGUUGGGCCCGGUUACUAGGAAUAUCAGGUUCUGUAGGCA